UUGUCGUACAUCACAUUUGAUAAAUCACAGUUUCACGGUUGGUAAUCAUGAGUGGCAAUAACGACAUAGUAGUGGUCGUGCGCGAGAAAUUGUUCGGGAAAAGCGUAUAGAAAUCUAUGAAAAUUUGGUUCUAAAAAGGUAAUCAAAUAAUUAUUUCGGUGAAAUUAUGAUGUGUUAUGUAUCGCGAGUGGAAAUCAAUCAAUAUUUUUCGGACAUCGCGUCGAUAAUUUAUACGCUGAGAGUAAUUAUAUACGCGAGUUUGUGGACGGGCGCGCGUCGUAAAAAUAUUGAAAAAACGAGAGUAUCGAUCAAGAAGGUUAUGUUCGAUAUCGAUAUAUAUAUUGGCAAUAAUCGAUAGACGCGUUGCGCGCCAAAUAUCGCGACUUCAUGUUGGGAAUUUACAACGUGUUACAUAUCACUAAUGGAAACGCAUCGAUGGAGAAAUAACCAGAUUGUCUGCGAAUUCUACGGAUGAGAAUUGCUUACUUAUAUAAUCGUCGUUAGGUAAAGACUCAGGCCUUUUCGUCGGACCCGAACGAAAUCCCACUGAACUGCGCGCCAUCCCGACAGUUGAGCCUUUACUCUGGAAGUGAGACAGACCUCCGUACUGAUCGUAGGUGGUCCUCGCCGUCGGACGCAACGAUUUUAAAUUAAAAUUAAAGUCAAGCGUUCUUAUGGUCCAUGUGCUCGACAUCACCACCACCCGCGUAACAAUGUUAAUAGCUCCGCGUCGCCGAAAUUGCGAGUCCUUCUUCCUAUAAGUGGAGCCGCAGAAGCGCGAAUGUAUCGUAUUAUGUCACCGCGAGGUUUUUAUCAACACGUUAUUUUAAUAUUGUAUAUGUUAUUAUCAUGAGAAAGGAUUUAUAUAAAAAGUGCGCGAUGCUUGUGAUAUUCUAUUUACUAUAUCAAGGUUGAUGAUUCAAUAUUUCAACAGUCGCGUUGAAUAUUAGAGGCUGGUAGAGAUAUUUCUAUUU